AUUUUAAAGCUUUGGUGGAUACGGAUUGGCUCGCGUGACAUUAGCUAGAUGGUAAGGUAACGGCUUACCAUGGCUACGAUGUCUAGGGGUUCUGAGAGGAAGAUCCCCCACACUGGAACUGAGACACGGUCCAGACUCCUACGGGAGGCAGCAGUGAGGAAUAUUGGACAAUGGGCGCAAGCCUGAUCCAGCCAUGCCGCGUGAGUGAAGAAGGCCUUCGGGUUGUAAAGCUCUUUCGGCGGGGAAGAAAUCGCAUUCUCUAAUACAGGAUGUGGAUGACGGUACCCGAAUAAGAAGCACCGGCUAACUACGUGCCAGCAGCCGCGGUAAUACGUAGGGUGCGAGCGUUAAUCGGAAUUACUGGGCGUAAAGCGUGCGCAGGCGGUUUCGUAAGACAGACGUGAAAUCCCCGGGCUCAACCUGGGAACUGCGUUUGUGACUGCGAGGCUAGAGUUUGGCAGAGGGGGGUGGAAUUCCACGUGUAGCAGUGAAAUGCGUAGAGAUGUGGAGGAACACCGAUGGCGAAGGCAGCCCCCUGGGCCAAUACUGACGCUCAUGCACGAAAGCGUGGGGAGCAAACAGGAUUAGAUACCCUGGUAGUCCACGCCGUAAACGAUGAGUACUAGGUGUUGCGGGUAUUGACCCCUGCAGUGCCGGAGCUAACGCAUUAAGUACUCCGCCUGGGAAGUACGGUCGCAAGACUAAAACUCAAAGGAAUUGACGG
rnacentral:rRNA from 1 species